rnacentral:rRNA from 1 species
GUCGAGGGGCAGCAUAUGGAUUGCUUGCAAUCCAUGAUGGCGACCGGCGCACGGGUGCGUAACGCGUAUGUAACUUGCCUUAUGCAGGAGGAUAACCCGAAGAAAUUCGGCCUAAUACUCCAUAAGUGUCAGAGAGGCAUCUUUCGGGCAUGAAAGAUUUAUCGGCAUAAGAUAGACAUGCGUGACAUUAGCUAGUCGGUGAGGUAACGGCUCACCGAGGCGACGAUGUCUAGGGGUUCUGAGAGGAAGGUCCCCCACACUGGUACUGAGACACGGUCCAAACUCAUACGGGAGGCAGCAGUGAGGAAUAUUGGUCAAUGGCCGGAAGGCUGAACCAGCCAAGUCGCGUGAGGGAAUAAGGCCCUACGGGUCGUAAACCUCUUUUGUCAGGGAGCAAGGCCGCCCACGUGUGGACGGAAGGAGAGUACCUGGAGAAAAAGCAUCGGCUAACUCCGUGCCAGCAGCCGCGGUAAUACGGAGGAUGCGAGCGUUAUCCGGAUUUAUUGGGUUUAAAGGGUGCGUAGGCGGCCUGCCAAGUCAGCGGUAAAAUUGCGGGGCUCAACCCCGUACAGCCGUUGAAACUGCCGGGCUCGAGUGGGCGAGAAGUAUGCGGAAUGCGUGGUGUAGCGGUGAAAUGCAUAGAUAUCACGCAGAACCCCGAUUGCGAAGGCAGCAUACCGGCGCCCUACUGACGCUGAGGCACGAAAGUGCGGGGAUCAAACAGGAUUAGAUACCCUGGUAGUCCGCACAGUAAACGAUGAAUGCUAGCUGUCCGGGGGGAUUGACCCCUGGGUGGCACAGCGAAAGCGUUAAGCAUUCCACCUGGGGAGUACGCCGGCAACGGUGAAAC